UACGUAGGGUGCAAGCGUUGUCCGGAAUUAUUGGGCGUAAAGAGCUCGUAGGCGGUUUGUCGCGUCUGCUGUGAAAACUCGGGGCUUAACCCCGGGCCUGCAGUGGGUACGGGCAGACUAGAGUGCGGUAGGGGAGACUGGAAUUCCUGGUGUAGCGGUGAAAUGCGCAGAUAUCAGGAGGAACACCGGUGGCGAAGGCGGCUCACUGGCCCGGAACUGACGCUGAGACGCGAAAGCGUGGGGAGCAAACAGG
rnacentral:rRNA from 1 species